rnacentral:rRNA from 1 species
GCUACGGGCGGCAGCAGUCGAGAAUCAUUCACAAUGGGGGAAACCCUGAUGGUGCGACGCCGCGUGGGGGAAUGAAGGUCUUCGGAUUGUAAACCCCUGUCAUGUGGGAGCAAAUUAAAAAGAUAGUACCACAAGAGGAAGUGACGGCUAACUCCGUGCCAGCAGCCGCGGUAAUAAAGCGGUCUCAAGCGUUGUUCGGAAUCACUGGGCGUAAAGCGUGAGUAGGCUGUAUCGUAAGUCGGAUGUGAAAGUCGCGGGCUCAACCCGCGGACCGCACAUGAUACUGCGAGACUAGAGUAAGGGAGGGGUAACCGGAAUUCUCGGUGUAGCAGUGAAAUGCGUAGAUAUCGAGAGGAACACUCGUGGCGAAGGCGGGUUCCUGGACAUUAACUGACGCUGAGGCACGAAGGCCAGGGGAGCGAAAGGGAUUAGAUACCCCGGUAGUC